UCUAUGUGGAACAGAAAGAAGCUGCUGUGGUUUGGAUGUGUUCUCCAAAACGUAUGUACUGGAAAGCCAACCCUCAACAUGCGGUGGGACGUUUAACAAGUGAUUAGGCCAUGAGGACAGAGCCACUAUCAUGAGAGUGGGUUGGUUAUUACGUGUUGGCCCCUGGAUCUUGGACUUUCCAGCCUUGAGAAUGACUGUUUUAGUGGAAAAGCAGCAGCACCACCAGAUCCAAGAUGGCGGCCAACAGGAGGCUGAUGAAGGAGCUUGAAGAAAUCCUCAAAUGUGGAAUGAAAAACUUCUGUAACAUCCAGGUUGAUGAAGUUAAUUUAGUGACUUGGCUUGGGCUUACUGUUCCUGACAACCCUCCAUAUGACAAAGGGACCUUCAGAAUUGAAAUCAACUUUCCAGCAGUGUACCCAUUCAAACCACCGAAGAUCACAUUUAAAACAAAGAUCACACCAACAUUGAUGAAAAGGGGUGGGUCUGUCUGCCAGUAAUUAGUGCUGAAAACUGGAAGCUAGCAACCAAAGCUGACCAAGUAAUCCAGUCCCUCAUAACACUGGUGAACGACCCCCCAGCCCAAGCACCCCCUCCAGCUGACUUAGCUGAAGAAUACUAUAAAAAAUUCUGUAAGAACGCCGACAUGUUUACAAAGAAAUAUGGAGAAAAGUGACCUGUGGACUAAAAUCUGCCAUGAUUGAUUCCAGCAAGUGUGAGCAGAGACCUGGCGCAGGGCACUCAGACACCCCGCAAAGCAGGACUCUGUGGAAAAUUGACAUGUGCCACCACCUGGUGUUCGCUCGUGGCAGUUACUAACUUUCUACAGUUUUCUUAAUCAAAAGUGGUCUAGGUAACCUGUAAAGAAAGCAUUAAAAAUUU